rnacentral:sRNA from 1 species
AAAUACACAACGCAAAAAUUCACAUUCUCGGGAUAUUGUUUCGAUACGAGGUACUCCUUCGCCUCGUGCGCUGGACGUACCCAGGACUAUUGAACUCUCCUGGACAGAAUGGAGAUCAGACACACAGCGAACGAUCUUGGGUGCGGCGUGUCCCUCGCCUUCGAGGUAUGGGAUGGGCCGCAAUGAUCGAGCGUACAG